rnacentral:rRNA from 1 species
CAAUAGCGUAUAUUAAAGUUGUUGCAGUUAAAAAGCUCGUAGUUGGAUUUCUGGUCGGAAGCUCCUGUCCUCUGAUGAGCGUACAAGUGCGUCCUACCAUCCUUCUGUUAACCUUAAAGGCGUUCGCGGCUUUCUAGGGGCUCAGAUAUUUUACCUUGAGAAAAUUAGAGUGUUUCAGGCAGGCUAGCGCCGGAAUACAUUAGCAUGGAAUAAUGGAAUAGGACUUUUGCCUCUUCUGUUGGUCAUGAGGCUCGAGUAAUGAUUAAUAGGGAUAGUUGGGGGCAUUAGUACUUAACUGUCAGAGGUGAAAUUCUCGGAUUUGUUAAAGACUAACUUAUGCGAAAGCAUUUGCCAAGGAUGUUUUCAUUA